CCCUACCCCACUCGUUUCUCUCUCUCCCUCUUCGGUGUAACCUUAGCCGCCGCCUUGAGUUUUCAUCUUCUCUCUCCGCCAAAAAUGGCAAAGUUGCAGAGUAUAGCAGACGAAUACAACUAUUGCAUGUCCGUUAUGGUGAAAACAUUUAAUGUUCCCCUCGAUUUCAUGAUUUUUUAUCCGAACACCGUUGGAAGCAUAAGGCUCCCAAGUCCAUUCUUUUCUUGGCUGCGCACACAAAAGAUUCCGGGCGAAACGGGAUUUGAGUUUAAGCGAGCGAAAGACGCACGUAAGGUACAGACGCUUAUUGUGGUGAUCCGCUAGCCUAGGGUACACAGUCUGCUGCUUGGAGUGCUCCUUUGAUCCGGAGCCCAUAUGUUCGGUACAGAACUCUCUGUUGUAUAUGAUUUCGUGUUUAUGGUUAUUUUGGGUACGGCGGGGCCCUGUCCCGUCAUAUGAUUUCGUUGUCUGUAUUAGAGGCCUGUAGACAUGUAUGUGGGUCAUGGGUCGUGU